rnacentral:rRNA from 1 species
GUGGGGAAUAUUGCACAAUGGGCGCAAGCCUGAUGCAGCAACGCCGCGUGAGGGAUGACGGCCUUCGGGUUGUAAACCUCUUUUAGUCAGGAAGAAGGGCACCGUAGGGUGUUUGACGGUACUGGCAGAAAAAGCACCGGCUAACUACGUGCCAGCAGCCGCGGUAAUACGUAGGGUGCAAGCGUUGUCCGGAAUUAUUGGGCGUAAAGAGCUCGUAGGCGGCUUGUCGCGUCUGCUGUGAAAACCCGGGGCUCAACCCCGGGCCUGCAGUGGGUACGGGCAGGCUAGAGGGCGGUAGGGGAGAUUGGAAUUCCUGGUGUAGCGGUGGAAUGCGCAGAUAUCAGGAGGAACACCGAUGGCGAAGGCAGAUCUCUGGGCCGUAACUGACGCUGAGGAGCGAAAGCAUGGGGAGCGAACAGGAUUAGAUACCCGGGUAGUCC